AGAGGUGGAAGGAAAGAGUGAGCUGUGUCUCAGGCGGGAGGUGGGUGCUCUGCAUGGACAAACAUGGUUAGAACAGUGGACAAGCCAUGAGCAAUAGGCUACCAAGUCCAUCCUGCUGAGCAUGAGAUGUUGCCCAGCUAUAUUCCUACCCUUUUGGCUCUAUCAGUCCUGUAACUUUGAGGUCUGUUGUCACCAGGCUGACCUGGUGCUUCGGCAUACAGCUUCCUCCAGAGGCUAAAAAUGGGGCUGGAGCAAGCUGUCAAUACAUGCUAACUUUUUAGAUUGCUCAGCAAGCAUUUUAUGGUAACUUUUGUCAGGUAGUGGGACUGGUAGACUAUUCACUCCAAAUUGUUCUGCGUGAGUAACAGUGAAGUUAUAGUUUGUUACUGGAUGUAUUACAGCCUACAACUGGCUUAAUGAAAUAUCUCCACAGUAAAAACACAUCAAGACAGCAGGAGUAACAUUUCAGGUCACGGAUUGUCCAAAUAAAUGGUGUUUCUUACAAAACUGUUGAUGUCUAGUGUUGAAAGCAGCUUCAGCAGUGAAAAGCCAGAAUGUGUCCUCAACCAGCACAUGGAUCCCCUGUAGUUUGGGAUGCUGGACUUGCUGCCACCACCAUGGGACACGUGGCAGGCAGAGCCUGCUCACCUCUGUGAGAAUUACUGUGCUGUUGGCAAUGAGAGAGCAAAUGCUUGAAAUUUCUUUUCAGUUUGAGUUCAUGAUACAGGCAUGAAACUGAAGUGUUAUGAGGUUUGCAAACAAGCAACAAGUAAUUUCAAGGGGUUGCAGUUCAGCCAGUAGAUUUUACAGAGCUAUGAAUAUUUAUCUCUUUAGAGCCAUUAAAAAUAAUAAUAAAAAAAAUCUGUAUAUUUCUUUUGUAAAAAUAUUUGCAGUAAAGAUCUGUGUACUUAAAUAAUUCUAUUUCAUAAGGACAUAAACCUUUAGUUCUGUGGAAAUCCAAAUAAAUGUUUAUGAGCUGCCACACUUCAAA